GCUCGAGUGGCGAACGGGUGAGUAACACGUGAGUAACCUGCCCUUGACUUUGGGAUAACUUCAGGAAACUGGGGCUAAUACCGGAUAGGAGCUCCUGCUGCAUGGUGGGGGUUGGAAAGUUUCGGCGGUUGGGGAUGGACUCGCGGCUUAUCAGCUUGUUGGUGGGGUAGUGGCUUACCAAGGCUUGACGGGUAGCCGGCCUGAGAGGGUGACCGGCCACAUUGGGACUGAGAUACGGCCCAG
rnacentral:rRNA from 1 species